GAGUUUGAUCAUGGCUCAGAAUGAACGCUGGCGGCGUGCUUAACACAUGCAAGUCGCACGAGAACGCUUCAGCUUGCUGAAGCUAGUAAAAGUGGCGCACGGGUGAGUAUCGCGUGGGUAAUCUACCUUCGAAUUGGGGAUAACAUUGCGAAAGCGAUGCUAAUACCGAAUAACAUCUCAGAUACCUCGGUAUUUAAGAUCAAAGGUGGCCUCUACAUGUAAGCUACUGUUUGGAGAUGAGCCCGCGUACCAUUAGCUUGUUGGUAGGGUAACGGCCUACCAAAGCAACGAUGGUUAGCUGGUCUGAGAGGAUGAUCAGCCACACUGGAACUGACACACGGUCCAGACUCCUACGGGAGGCAGCAGUGAGGAAUUUUGCGCAAUGGGGGAAACCCUGACGCAGCAACGCCGCGUGAGUGAUGAAGGCUUUCGGGUCGUAAAGCUCUGUCAAGCGGGAAGAAACUGCCCCGUGCUAAUAUCACGGGACACUGACGGUACCGCUGAAGGAAGCACCGGCUAACUCCGUGCCAGCAGCCGCGGUAAUACGGGGGGUGCAAGCGUUAUUCGGAAUCAUUGGGCGUAAAGGGCGCGUAGGCGGUCUCUUAAGUCAGGUGUGAAAGCCUUCCGCUUAACGGAAGAAGUGCAUUUGAAACUAAGGGACUUGAGUAUGGGAGAGGGAAGUGGAAUUCCUGGUGUAGCGGUGAAAUGCGUAGAUAUCAGGAGGAACACCGGUGGCGAAGGCGACUUCCUGGACCAAUACUGACGCUGAGGCGCGAAGGCGUGGGGAGCAAACAGGAUUAGAUACCCUGGUAGUCCACGCAGUAAACGGUGAACACUAGGUGUAGUGGGUAUUGACCCCUGCUGUGCCGCAGUUAACGCAUUAAGGUCCGCCUGGAGAGGGCGACG
rnacentral:rRNA from 1 species